CGUUUUGUUACGUAAAGGCCAGGAGGAGUGGCAUCAUUCAAAGGAAAAGAAAAGGGUGUAAUCUGGUUGCCGUGGCGCACAGAUGUAGAAGUUUUAUGGGCCAACAGAACAUCAGAAAUCUUCUGGGAGACAUGUUGUCACCUCCUGCUGAACAGGGAAAGUUAAAUGAAGGCUUAUCUGUAAGCAAACACGCGGUGAAUUGAAGUUGCGAGAGGAAGUGUUGCAAGGAAAUGGAAUAAGGACACUCUGCCAAGUGACUGACACCCUUGGCCAGCCAGUCCCUCAGCUCUAUCCACG